rnacentral:misc_RNA from 1 species
CAACCCUCGAACCCCUCCGGGGGGUCGGCGUUGGGGAUCGGCACGCCCUCACCCGGGUGGCCGGCCCCGAAAUACAGUGGCGGUCUCGCCGCGUCCUCCCCUGCGCAGUAGUUUGCACAGCUCGCACCGGGAGCGCGGCGCGUCCACGUCCGUAAAACACCCAACCUCUGAAACG